GACUUCAACUACUACCAGGAGAAGCUGCAGAGAUCCUGCAGUGAGGCUCAGGAGCAACUCAGAGCUGAUCUCUGGGGAGAUGUAACAGCCUCACCCCCGGGGCACUCCUGCUUCCCAAAGCUCUGAUUCCAGCAGGAGGGAAUCACCAACUGUGGCCUGCAAAUACACGGACAAGAGAGAGCUGUGCUGUCUGGGACUGCUUUGGUGUCUUUCAUUGCUCCCCUGCCCCAACCCAGCCCCUGCUGCCUCUGCUGCUGGGAAGAAAGAUCAGAGGUGAUGGAAGUGGUCUCUGCACUGCCCAACCACCAGCUCUGAGCACAGAGACACAGAAUGGCUCAGCCUGGACCCUGAGCUCAUCUCCUCCACCACGGGCAGGGACAUCUUCCCCCAGCACAGGCUGCUCAGGGCCUCAUCCAGCCUGGCCUUGAGCACCCUCAGCUGAGGCAGCCACAGCCUCCCUGGGCAGCCUGCUCUGGAGUCUCCCCACCCUGGUGCUGGAGAACUUCUCCCUCAGCUCCAGCCUCCCCUGCUCUCCUCAGCCUCGCCCAUCCCACUCACCCUGCUGGCACUCUGCAGUGUGCUGAAGCCCUGAUGGAGCUGGACUGCAGUGGGCAUGCAGGGAGGGCAGAAGGCCUCACCUGCUGAGGCUGUCUGAUGGGAAACAGCUUUGGAAGGAAGCUGCCAACGAGCUGAGUGCAUCAGAGACUGCAGGCAUGGGGGGGAGGGAGACUGAGGGUGAUGAGAAAAUAAAAAGCCCAAAGCUUUUCUCCAUCU